rnacentral:rRNA from 1 species
GACGAACGCUGGCGGCGUGCUUAACACAUGCGAGUCGAACGGAAAGGCCCUGCUUUUGUGGGGUGCUCGAGUGGCGAACGGGUGAGUAACACGUGAGUAACCUGCCCUUGACUUUGGGAUAACUUCAGGAAACUGGGGCUAAUACCGGAUAGGAGCUCCUGCUGCAUGGUGGGGGUUGGAAAGUUUCGGCGGUUGGGGAUGGACUCGCGGCUUAUCAGCUUGUUGGUGGGGUAGUGGCUUACCAAGGCUUUGACGGGUAGCCGGCCUGAGAGGGUGACCGGCCACAUUGGGACUGAGAUACGGCCCAGACUCCUACGGGAGGCAGCAGUGGGGAAUAUUGCACAAUGGGCGGAAGCCUGAUGCAGCAACGCCGCGUGCGGGAUGACGGCCUUCGGGUUGUAACCCGCUUUCGCCUGUGACGAAGCGUGAGUGACGGUAAUGGGUAAAGAAGCACCGGCUAACUACGUG